CAGCAGCCGCGGGAAUACCAGCACCUCGAGUGGUCAGGAGGUUUAUUGGGCCUAAAGCAUCCGUAGCCGGUUGCAUAAGUUUUCGGUUAAAUCUAUGCGCUUAACGUAUAGGCCGCCGAAAAUACUGUGCAACUAGGGAGUGGGAGAGGUACACGGUACUCGAUAGGAAGGGGUAAAAUCCUUUGAUCUAUUGAUGACCACCUGUGGCGAAGGCGGUGUACCAGAACACGUUCGACGGUGAGGGAUGAAAGCUGGGGGAGCAAACCGGAUUAGAGACCCCAGUAGUCCCUGUCUCUUAUAC
rnacentral:rRNA from 1 species